UCUCUCUCUCUCCCUCUCUCUCUCUCUCUCUCUCUCUCUCUCUCUCUCUCUCUCUCUCUCUCUCUCUUGAACAAACACACAACCGCAUUCCCGGCCUAGCAUCACCGCGGGCGCAUUAUGCAAAACCAGUCCACUCUUGGAAAAUCCUUGUUACAAGCCGCAUCCGCGCGAUUUAUAAAGUAUCUCGUCGCUUAUCGACAGCCGCUCGCGCCGCCAUCAGUAUACAUUCGCGCGAUAUCAGUCGAGUUAUCCCGUGUGCGCAGCGGCAUCGUGUAUACAGGCCCCCAGUACAGUACCAGCUUUGGAGCGGUAACGACGCGUAUGUCCGCAUGAUUUGACAACACAGCCGCCGAGAAAAUCGUCGCACUCUUCGAACUUGGAACAAUCACCCGGGACCACGUAGAUGGAACCCUGUGCACAACAGUUUAUUUAUACUCUAUCAAGUGUAAAUGUGAAUAUGAUACUGAAUCUGUGAUUUUCGAUAAGGAUAUACUUACGUAUACAGCCAGACAGCUCAAGAGCGAGAGGAACGCGAUUUUAACGAACAUUUCGAUGAAUUUUUUAUUCUCGAGCAGUGGAAACGAACUAAAAGGCUACGAUAAUUUAACACUCUAUUUAAAGCGUGAGCUUGUAUUAAGCAUUGUAAAUAAUUUUAUUAUCUCUUAAGGUCACAAUUCCAAAGACGUUAUCUUACAAGGUGUAUAUACAGAAUUCGUUCGCUUUCGUCGGACUGCCUGAGGCAAAUAAAGCUGCCGCCGACAAAGUUUACCUA